rnacentral:rRNA from 1 species
AGAGUUUGAUCCUGGCUCAGAUUGAACGCUGGCGGCAUGCUUUACACAUGCAAGUCGAACGGUAACAGGCCUUCGGGUGCUGACGAGUGGCGAACGGGUGAGUAAUGCAUCGGAACGUGCCCAAUCGUGGGGGAUAACGUAGCGAAAGUUACGCUAAUACCGCAUACGCCCUGAGGGGGAAAGCAGGGGAUCUUCGGACCUUGUGCGAAUGGAGCGGCCGAUGUCAGAUUAGCUAGUUGGUGGGGUAAAGGCCCACCAAGGCGACGAUCUGUAGCGGGUCUGAGAGGAUGAUCCGCCACACUGGGACUGAGACACGGCCCAGACUCCUACGGGAGGCAGCAGUGGGGAAUUUUGGACAAUGGGCGCAAGCCUGAUCCAGCCAUGCCGCGUGCGGGACGAAGGCCUUCGGGUUGUAAACCGCUUUCAGCCGGAAAGAAAUCGUCAAGGCUAAUAUCCUUGAUGGAUGACGGUACCGGAAGAAGAAGCACCGGCUAACUACGUGCCAGCAGCCGCGGUAAU